AAAAAUAACAUGCCACCCUGAACAAGCCUGAUCCCAUCUGAUCUGGGAAGCUAAGCAGGGUCAGAACUGGUUAGUACUUGGAAUGGGAGACCACCUAGGAAGACCAGGUGCUGUAGGCA
rnacentral:rRNA from 1 species